AGCGGAGGGAUCAUUACAGAAGGAAGAGCCUUAAAAACUCUCUCCUAAAACCCCUGUGAACAUUUACCUUUACCGAUUCCCCGGCGCAAAGCCCGGUGGUUGUUGGGAGGGUGCGGCUCCGGGACCCGCUUUUACGGCGGUCCCGGGACUGCCCCGCCCGGCCUGCCAGGCUGCCGGGGACAAACCAAACUCAAAAUUUUUACAGUGUAUCGGAGGCUCUUUUAGAGCGAAACAAACAAUAAGUUACAACUUUCAGCAAUGGAUCUCUUGGCUCUGGCAUCGAUGAAGAACGCAGCGAAAUGCGAUAAGUAUUGUGAAUUGCAGAAUCCAGUGAAUCAUCGAAUCUUUGAACGCACAUUGCGCCCGCCGGUAACCCGGCGGGCAUGCCUGUUCGAGCGUCAUUUUCACCACUCGGUAGCAGUCAUUUUUUGGUUGCGACCGGCGUUGGGGCACCUGGGGAAAAGGCCGCUUUUUAGCGGUUUCCAGGGCCCUCAAAUUCAUCGGCGGGAACGUUUCGGCUCCUGAGCGCAGUAGAUUAAUACCAAGCUCGGCGAAUACGGGGCGUGAUCGGCCGCUAAACUUUUAUUCUUAAAGGUUGACCUCGGAUCAGGUAGGGCUACCCGCUGAACUUAAGCAUA
rnacentral:rRNA from 1 species